rnacentral:rRNA from 1 species
UACAGAGGUCCCAAGCGUUGUUCGGAUUCACUGGGCGUAAAGGGUGCGUAGGCGGUCGGGUAAGUCUGCUGUGAAAUCUCACAGCUUAACUGUGAAACUGCAUUGGAUACUAUCCGGCUUGAGGAAUGGAGGGGAGACUGGAAUACUUGGUGUAGCAGUGAAAUGCGUAGAUAUCAAGUGGAACACCAGUGGCGAAGGCGAGUCUCUGGACAUUUCCUGACGCUGAGGCACGAAAGCCAGGGGAGCAAACGGG